rnacentral:rRNA from 1 species
GGGAAUAUUGGACAAUGGGCGCAAGCCUGAUCCAGCCAUGCCGCGUGUGUGAAGAAGGCCUUCGGGUUGUAAAGCACUUUUGUACGGGAAGAAAAGCACUCGGUUAAUACCCGGGUGUCAUGACGGUACCGUAAGAAUAAGCACCGGCUAACUUCGUGCCAGCAGCCGCGGUAAUACGAAGGGUGCAAGCGUUACUCGGAAUUACUGGGCGUAAAGCGUGCGUAGGCGGUUUGUUAAGUCUGUCGUGAAAGCCCCGGGCUCAACCUGGGAAUGGCGAUGGAUACUGGCGAGCUAGAGUACGGUAGAGGAGAGUGGAAUUCCCGGUGUAGCAGUGAAAUGCGUAGAGAUCGGGAGGAACAUCAGUUGCGAAGGCGGCUCUCUGGACCAGUACUGACGCUGAGGCACGAAAGCGUGGGGAGCAAA